GUCUGCUUAGCUCAGUGGGAGAGCGACGGUCUGAAGUACCGCAGGUCUCUUGUUCGAUCCAGGAAGUGGACA